rnacentral:rRNA from 1 species
UACGUAGGGCGCAAGCGUUGUCCGGAAUUAUUGGGCGUAAAGAGCUCGUAGGCGGUCUGUUACGUCCGCUGUGAAACCCGAGGCUCAACCUCGGGCCUGCAGCCGAUACGGGCAGACUAGAGUUCGGCAGGGGAGACUGGAAUUCCUGGUGUAGCGGUGAAAUGCGCAGACGUAUCAGGAGGAACACCGGUGGCGAAGGCGGGUCUCUGGGCCGAUGAACUGACGCUGGGAGGAGCGAAAGCGUCGGGAGCGAACAGG